rnacentral:miRNA from 1 species
AGGAGGAUGGGAGAGGGAGGUGU